rnacentral:antisense_RNA from 1 species
CGUUAUGGCAGCUGUGCGCGGGACACCUACGGGUGUGCCGGGUGUAGCUCCGAUGGGACCCGGUCGGCUAACCCGCGCACAGCUGCCACCCUA